rnacentral:rRNA from 1 species
UACGGAGGGGGCAAGUGUUGUUCGGAAUUACUGGGCGUAAAGGGCGCGCAGGCGGCUUGGCAAGUCGAGUGUGAAAGCCCUCAGCUUAACUGAGGAAUGGCGCUCGAAACUACCUGGCUUGAGGGCGGGAGAGGGAAGUGGAACUCUCGGUGUAGGGGUGAAAUCUGUAGAUAUCGAGAGGAACACCGGUGGCGAAGGCGGCUUCCUGGCCCGUACCUGACGCUGAGGCGCGAAAGCGUGGGGAGCAAACAGGAUUAGAAACCCCCGUAGUCC